GAAGUAGCAGGCGCAUUUGAAGAUGGAAACAGCAGCACCCGCCCUCGCACUUGAAACUGAUCAUAGUCGCGCUCAGCGCACCCACCAGCAUGCCAUCUUCUAGAAUGGCCGACAGCACAGUCGACCGAGAUGCCAGUGCGCCGGCCCCCAGACCUAACCGCGACCAAGAACCGUUUUCUGAGCCAGCGCACGAGAGUGCGAAGGCAGCUGAUACACUUGCGCCAACGCAGAGAGGUGACCCGCGACGCGGCAGCGCAGGCUCGAUCCGCGUAAUCGGCUUUCACGCGCCAGGCGCCACGAGCGACAGUGAGCAUGUGUGUGCUGUGACCACAUCGUCAGGGCAUGCAGCACCGCUAUCACUGGAGGCGCGGCUGGCCGCUUUGCGCUCGCGCCGCCUUGCGCGAGAGGCGCGCGCCAUCGGCGCAGCGGCAUCGGUGGUGAGCGCAUCAAUCGUACCUGCGCCUCUGCCUGUUGCUCUCGCCGAACCCGCAUGCAAUGGCGUGGAACGUCCGUGCCUGGGCCACACGCUGCCCACGUUCCCACCACCACCCGGCCCGCUGGCGCCGACGCGCACCUCGACCUCUCCAACAGUGGCCUCAGCGCCGGCAGCCCAGUCCGCUGCCGCACCUUUCACCUUUGCGCCCCGUGCCGUUAACGACGUUAACAAGGCCGCCGCGGCUGUUGAUGCUACCACGCUCGGGGACGCUCGCUCGACGAGGUACGCAACCACGUCCCGUGCAGAGACCCCCAACGCAGCGUCUUGCUCAAGCGCCUCCGUCCAUGCUGACAAGGCCGGGCAGCCUGCGCAGGUUGGCCGGAUGGCGUCCCAGCGACGCUUUCCCUCCACGACGUCCGCCGUCAUGACAACCGCUUUUUCAGAGUCCCCGGUGCCCAACCACGCCUCUACGGCCUUCUCAGUGCGGGGCAGCCCGCCAUCGCACGCGGUCGGGGCUGCGCCGAUGAAUAAUGCCAAGAGUGAGCCCGCGCCGCAACAUAGCGAACAGCGUUCUGCGGCUGAAGUGUCCUCACUUCGGUAUCACCCGAUAAACGAUACCCAGGCAGCCAGGCGACUCUUCCCCAACGACACGGCAUCUUCCAUCUAUGUAUCGCCGCUUGACACCGCGGCGGACGCUAUCCGCGGCACAAGCCCUGAGCAUGUACAGGGGCAGCACCUUUCCCCUCUCCCGGCUUUGCAUCCGCCAUGCAUGUCGGCCCUGGCGCAGGAUGGUGGAUGUCUUUCCUCGAAUACCUCGACGCCAGAGAGGGCACGAUUGCCAUCAUUGGUGGAAAUGCAAACGUUUUUGCCCACUGCAAUCUCGUCGUCAACCGGCCUCCCCACUGCUUCACAUGGCAUGGUCCGGCGUCACGGUGUCCACGCAUCACUCCGGCGCACGACAGGCGGUUCCCCGUCGUCAACCGAUACCGCUCCUAUUCGUCCAUUUGCGCCGUUUGCGCGCCUCAUCACCACCCCGCCGCGCGAGAGCUGCCCGUCCCCGCAACCUCUCUCCGACGACAAGUCGUGGCCGAGCCGGCGGGACUUCAUCGUCCCCAGUGUGUGCUCGCACCGAGAUAGCCCCCACACGGGAUGCACGCAGAGCAAAUCUCGCGAAUGCUCAUACCCGAGGCGGGUUACCUCGGCCGAGACUACCUCGUCAACUGAGGCUUGGAGUGCACGGCUGCGCUCGUCGUCUGCCGAACGCGACACCUCGCUCAGCUCUGCCUUCUCAGGGAAGAUGCCCAUCUUUUCUCCAUUUCGGCACCGCGUGAUACCGUCCCUGACGAACCGAGUGUCGUCGUCGCCUUCGCGUUCACACGCCAGCGCACGUCACUCACUCCUCAGCAGUGCCGUCUACACAGCCUUACUCGCCACAACCACCCGCUCCAAGUACAAGCUGCUCGACGACAUCACCACAGUGUCGACGGAGGAGUCCGCCGAGCGAGACACCAUCGCUGAGAAACUGGCGAUACAGCGUCGUCUGAGCCACUUAAAGUCGGAGUUGACGCGGCAGCGAAUGGAGCAGCGGCGGCGUGGUGGGCACAUCAGCACUCUGUGAGAUUACCACUCGGCUCUCCCUUUUUGCCCUACCCCUACGCUAUUCUAUGCCGUUCAACUCCUUGUCAGUCUGCAUGUCUACGUGUGUGUGUGUGUGUGCCAUGGGUGCUCGACGCGCACUUGCACUCUACUGGCAUAUCCUCACUUUUUUCUCUCCCAUUCUCGUUCUCUUCAGCGUAGGCAAAAAGGCGUUUGCGUGUGUGUGCACGCCCUGCAGAUGUUGACGCUGCUGCUGCGGCGGCGUUCCAUUUCUGUUCUCGCGUGUCAGAUCACUCCCUUUUCAGUGCCCCGCGCUCCGACGGUUUGUUCACGUCCAUCGACUGCCCUCCCUCUCUCCUUCCCGAAACAUCGGAGAGAGGAGUGCAGGCAAAACUAACGGGGUAAACCAUUUUUUCUUUUUGUUUCCACCUCUGUUCUUGAUGUUGAACAAUAGAGCGAAUACGAACGGCCGAAGGGUAGCACGUCGCACGAACCCGGCGCGGCUCCUCUCCUCCCUCCCCUCCUCCCGUUUUCUUUGUUGCUUUCUGUUCCCGGGAAUUCCGCGUUCCAUAGGAGACUCUCUGAUCUUUCGGCCCCUGCGUGCAUAUAUAUAUAUAUAUAUGUGUGUGUGUGUGUGUGUAUAAUUGCUUCGCAACGCAGUUUUCAGUAGUGACCACGUCACUCACGGCUCUCCAUCUGCGUUGCCCCAUCGACUCACCACUGCCUUCUUCAUGGAGUGCAGCGUAAGACCACAAAGAGGAUGACGGUAGAAUGCCUAAGCUGUUUAACCACUCUCACCUUCGCUGCCGACUGUAG
rnacentral:misc_RNA from 1 species